rnacentral:rRNA from 1 species
UGGUGCGGUCAUACCAGCGCUAGUACACCGGAUCCCAUCAGAACUCCGCAGUUAAGCGCGCUUGGGCCAGAA